rnacentral:rRNA from 1 species
GACGAACGCUGGCGGCGUGCUUAACACAUGCAAGUCGAACGGAAAGGCCCUGCUUUUGUGGGGUGCUCGAGUGGCGAACGGGUGAGUAACACGUGAGUAACCUGCCCUUGACUUUGGGAUAACUUCAGGAAACUGGGGCUAAUACCGGAUAGGAGCUCCUGCUGCAUGGUGGGGGUUGGAAAGUUUCGGCGGUUGGGGAUGGACUCGCGGCUUAUCAGCUUGUUGGUGGGGUAGUGGCUUACCAAGGCUUUGACGGGUAGCCGGCCUGAGAGGGUGACCGGCCACAUUGGGACUGAGAUACGGCCCAGACUCCUACGGGAGGCAGCAGUGGGGAAUAUUGCACAAUGGGCGGAAGCCUGAUGCAGCAAAGCCGCGUGCGGGAUGACGGCAUUCGGGUUGUAAACCGCUGUCGCCUGUGACGAAGCGUGAGUGACGGUAAUGGGUAAAGAAGCACCGGCUAACUACGUG